rnacentral:lncRNA from 1 species
CAUCCCAGAGCUGGGAUCCCAGUCCCAGAUCCAGGAUCCCAGUCCCGAUCCCAGUCCCAAUCCCAGUCCUGUGAUCCCAGUCCCAAAUCCUCGAUCCCAGUAUGAAAAUAACAGUCCCAGUCCCAAAACUGUGAUCCCAGUCCCAGAUCCAGGAUCCCAGUCCCAAAUCCAUGAUCCCAAUCCCGGAUCCAUGAUCCCAGAAUAACAAUCCCAGUAGGAAAAUGAUAAUCCCAGUCCAGGAAUAACAAUCCCAGUAGGAAAAUAGUGAUCCCAGUCCCAAAAUAACAAUCCCAGUACAAAAACAGGGAUCCCAGAUCUGUGAUCCCAGUCCAGGAAUAACAAUCCCAGUAGGAAAAUAGUGAUCCCAGUCCCAGAGCUGCAUCCCAGAGCUGGGAUCCCAGUCCCAGAUCCACGAUCCCAGUCCCAGAUCCCAAUCCCAAUUCCAUGAUCUCAGUCCCAGAGCAGUGAUCCC